UCCCGGUUUGUGGUGAGCCUGUUCCGCU
rnacentral:sRNA from 1 species